GUGUGUGGGGGGGGGGGGGGGGGGGGGGGGUUCGUUCGCACCCCUCCUAGGUACGGGCCUUUACAAUUCAUAAAGACAUGGCAGUAAAAAAAUGACUUUUUUAAUCUCAUUAAAAAAACAUUUUAAAGACACCUAGAUCCCCCUAAAUUACCCCUAUCAGUCAACACAAAAAGGUAUCAAAUGCUGGCUCCGUCUUUAGGCAGUGCCUAAAUCUAUAUAUUAUGCUUCUGUACAAAGUUUUACAUUUAUGUUACGUGUAUUUACACUUAUAGGAAAUCAAUGUUUCUAUAUUUAUGUGUCAUGUCUUUCCUUUCAUCUUUGGUCUGAUCAUGCACCUAUGCACGCUCACAAGAAUCUUCUCAUACGAAGGAGGUGGGCUUCUCAGGAAGAAGAAGAAGAUCUUUGAUUAUUUUAAACCAUCAGUUACUCACACACUCUACGGAGCAUUGACAAAGGGCUGUACAUCACAAGCUGGCCUUCCGCCUGGUGUGUGGUACCAGAGCAUCUCGCGUAGGAGGGAUGGAAUCGAAAUGUCGUCCCUUUUUGGCAAACAGAUCCUUCCUUGACUCAUUUUCUGAAGCAGAGGACGUACGGUCGUACAUGAGAACAACAUACCUCUCCAGUGUUGCUAUCCAGUCAUGUGGAGCACGUGACAUAGACACAAAGACCGGUGUAACUUGAGGGAAUGCUCUCCAUGUGUCCAAUGCUGUCUUUUACUUCUUCGGUGAAAGCAAGAAACAGUGUCACAUCCUGUGAACGCAUGGAAUGCUGGCAGACCAAGCGCCAUGUCGAUGCUUAAAGCAUUUGCGAUUUUGUGGGCUGCAAUUAACCCUGACCCAAAAGAUACCCACAGCUCGAUGUCUUCGCUUGUACGCCGCUUCAGUGGACUAAGGAGACUCACAGCCAAGACUAAGACAUCGGUGUCGACUGUGCGCAAAACAACUCGCUGAUGGCCACAGAGCACUGAAUCUGCUGCAUGAAGGAACAUCCUAGUGUCGGCUUCUUCGUGAGAACAUGGAGCCAAAUACUGAAGUUGUCCUCGCGAGGGACGCUGCUGAGUACUUCUGUUCCAUAGGUGGAGAUCUUGUUUAGGGUGGCAGUCAGCAGUGACAAAACUUUCUCCCAGAAACUUGAAGAGCUCUUCCUUGUUCCGAUCAUCGCGUAGAAAAUCCUUCCAGCUUCUGGGAAGUUUGUUUACUGGUUCAACACGUUGACGAACUCCAGCCCCGCGAUGACUCCCAGUUGUAGGUUUCAGACUGUUUUCUAUGUAUUCAUCAAAUACGAGGUCAAUUCGCUCAACGUGACGUACUUGGGCAAGAAUAUAUUUGAUGAAGGUGCGUUGAGCGUAAUCAGAAAAAGUUUUCUCCGUUCCCUUGGGUUUCAGCAUAUUCACCUCAGCCGCUCCGUCAACAAUCAUCACGUCACAUUCACCUUGUUAGUUCUGACUUACGGGGCAGCUUCAGUCUUCCUUGAUCGGAAAUGGAUGGCGGGCAUGGCUGAUUUUCGUGUUGGAAAAACCCAUCCAGGUCUCCUUUUCUGGUUUGACACCCAAUAAACAGACGCGAAAACAAGGCGCGAAUGGGUUACCCAUCUCGUCAAUCACCUGGGCGAGUGCCUUCACAUCUUUAUGAAAAGUAACUUGGUAAGCUUUGUCAACCUCGUGGUGAUGUUUUGAUUCGGAGUGCACCUCUGGGUUCAUUUCUACCUUGAACUCAUUGACUGGACGUGCAAUUUCUGGACCGGAAAGCAUCCGUCUGCGAAGUGCAUUGGUAUUCUCCGUCAAGCCUACUGCGCUACCGUCACCUUUUACCAGGGCAUUAUUCUGUUCUUGUGCCUGGUCGAUUGCAAUCGCAGAGAAUCGUCGGGAUGUCUUCGUAACAGCAAACAAGCCCUCCCUGAAUGCGCGUGCAACAUCGGGUGCCUUCAUAUCAAGCUCACACAUAUCUUUGACAUGUACACGGAGCCAACGAGAAUAGUGGGUGUGGUUAAGAGCAAAGAACCAAGGAAGCAUCUUGUAGAGGGCGUCCCUGUACAUGUCAAAGUCGUCGAGGCGAACAGAUCUGACGAACACUAAGAGUAGAAGCUCUAACUGGAGAUAAGUGUACCAGUACUGAAACUGCGAAACUGCUGAUCUUUGUUCAUCACACCAUUUGUCGAAUGAAACUUUGGGAUUCCUGUGUGCGCUGUCGGUCACGUGGAAGCACCAUGAAAAACAUCCUCCAUGGUUUUUGUAUGUCGGUGGAAUAUAAUGAGAUCUUAAGAGUGGAAGCUCAGAUAGAAAAUAACGUGCUUCAGCGAAUGCAGCAAAA